rnacentral:lncRNA from 1 species
GGGCUCUCAGGAGGCUGGAGAAACAGAGACAGCACCAGUGGGAAGCUCCGGUCCCCGUUACCGUCCCAGCUUCAGCCCCCAGUGCCUCCUGAGGGGCUUGUAAAGGAAGCCAGCUGUGGCAACAGCCUUUUAGAGAUGCUUCAGAGCUGGCUGAGAGCGUCUGAGGGGCCCCCAGACUGACAGGAACCUCUGUCUUUAAAACACUGCCUGGCAUCACCUCUGCAAUGACAUCCCCUCUCCUGCGCCCUGACCCUUAACGCCUAAAGUUUGGGAGAGGCUGAUAAAGCUUUUUCAGCAGUUCUGAUUCGGUUAGGAGACAGCAUGGCCCCUGGGGAUUGCUCCACCUCCAUCCAUCACUUCCCAUUUUCUACUGCAUCUCCAGGCCAUGGGAAGAGGGCUCUCCUGACUUCUGGCCACACUUGAGGAAGGUUCACCAUCAGGGAGAGCUGCCCAAGUGCACAGAGACAGUCCUACGCCCAGAACCAAAACAAGAAGCUGGCUUUCCCUGGGGGAAAAUAUUCUAAUGAAUAAGCAGCAUGAAUGGAUUUUUCCAAAAUAAUGCCUUGCAUAUGGAUUCUGGGACAAUCAUUCCACCACUGAGCAUUGUUCUGCUUAGCUCCAUCUCAUCAAAAGAAUAGGUAAGACCAGCCCAAGGCUAUUACCCAAGUUCGUUGACCUCUGCAUCCUUCCACCCAACAAACAGGAGGCUGCUUCUGAGCAAAAUGCUGUGGACUGAAUGUAGAUCCUAGGCUCUUAAUGCUUCUGAGAAGUAACCUGUCUGGAAAACAAC